rnacentral:rRNA from 1 species
GCUACCAUGCAGUCGAGCGGAUGAAGGGGGCUUGCUCCUGGAUUCAGCGGCGGACGGGUGAGUAAUGCCUAGGAAUCUGCCUGGUAGUGGGGGAUAACGUCCGGAAACGGGCGCUAAUACCGCAUACGUCCUGAGGGAGAAAGUGGGGGAUCUUCGGACCUCACGCUAUCACAUGAACCUAGGACGGAUUGACUAGUUGG